GAUGAACGCUGGCGGCGUGCCUAAUACAUGCAAGUCGAGCGAACAGACGAGGAGCUUGCUCCUCUGACGUUAGCGGCGGACGGGUGAGUAACACGUGGAUAACCUACCUAUAAGACUGGGAUAACUUCGGGAAACCGGAGCUAAUACCGGAUAAUAUAUUGAACCGCAUGGUUCAAUAGUGAAAGACGGUUUUGCUGUCACUUAUAGAUGGAUCCGCGCCGCAUUAGCUAGUUGGUAAGAUAACGGCUUACCAAGGCAACGAUGCGUAGCCGACCUGAGAGGGUGAUCGGCCACACUGGAACUGAGACACGGUCCAGACUCCUACGGGAGGCAGCAGUAGGGAAUCUUCCGCAAUGGGCGAAAGCUUGACGGAGCAACGCCGCGUGAGUGAUGAAGGUCUUCGGAUCGUAAAACUCUGUUAUUAGGGAAGAACAAAUGUGUAAGUAACUAUGCACGUCUUGACGGUACCUAAUCAGAAAGCCACGGCUAACUACGUG
rnacentral:rRNA from 1 species